UACAGAGGUCUCAAGCGUUGUUCGGAUUCAUUGGGCGUAAAGGGUGCGUAGGUGGCGGGGUAAGUCAGGUGUGAAAUUUCGGAGCUUAACUCCGAAACUGCAUUUGAUACUGCCUUGCUUGAGGACUGGAGAGGAGACUGGAAUUCACGGUGUAGCAGUGAAAUGCGUAGAUAUCGUGAGGAAGACCAGUGGCGAAGGCGGGUCUCUGG
rnacentral:rRNA from 1 species